UCGGCCACCUACUCCCGUUAACCCUAGCAGUCAGGGAGACCGAUCCCCGCAAUUGCCCCAUCGAUCCCCUCGUCUCCCUCCAGCGCUGCCCCACGCCGGCCUCGACCCUCACCUUCCUCCGCACCGCCGGUGACUGCAGCCACCGACGGGAAGCCAAGCAGAUGAGCACGCCCCCCUGCCCGUUCUCCCCUCCCCCUCUCCUUACUCCUUCUCACUUCUUCUCUCAGCAGGAGCCCGCCAUGGACGCCCCUGCCUCGCACUACCCACCGGAUCUGGUUCUCCAUGUCGAGAUCCGCCCGUUCCCGACCUCCACUCGCCCGCUCGCCAACCGCCAGAACCCCAAGUCCCGCCAGCCGCCAGGAGCUCGGGUUCAAGCCGCGACGACUGCCUCCUCCGCACAGCACCCCGUGCGCCCAAAUCCUCCUCCUCCUCUGGUUUUAUGAGACCUUGAGCAUUGUUUUCGCCACCAUUCCCUUCUUUUAUCGAUUCGUGUAUGCCUCAUCCUCCUGACCUCUGCUUGCAGAUUAGUUUGGUCGCUUGUUGAAAUCAUUAGUUUGUACGUACUAGUAAGCAUGCAAGUGCAACACGCACGUCUCGACUAAUAUUAUAUUCUUUGGCAAGAAUCUAUUCAAGUUUGUUCUCACAAGGUGGUUAUACACAUCCUUAUGCGUGAAAAGAUAAAACAAAAGCAUUAUGCUUAAACACACAAACAAAAGCACAUAUCACUUUUAGUUCCAUUCUUGUUGAAAAAGGGGUGUAUAUUCACGCUAAAUUGCUCCAAUCUCUCCAUCCGAGCAACACACCAAUUUUUUUUAUUCAAAGCCUUGGGCAUAGCUACGAUAUUAGCACCAGCCUUGGAUUUGAAUAUCUUUAGCGAUUCAAUCAUAUCUUGUCCAACUUUGGCAUGCAGGGUUUCAGCUAUAAACUGGGGAAUCAACACAUGUUCUCUUUAAUUUACAAGGCUACAAGUUACACUUUGAACACGGCUCAAUUGUACUCCCUCCGUUCCAAAAUAGAUGACCCAACUUUGUACUAAUAGUACAAAGUUGGGUCAUCUAUUUUGGAACGGAGGAAGUAUGAGAAAGGGGGCACCUGACCCACCCAAAGAGUUAUAUGUGUUUUAGUAGAAACUUCUAAACACAAACAUCAUCUGCAUAGUUUGCACUCCAUAUUACUCCCUCCGUUCCUAAAUAUAAGUCUUUGUAGAGAUUCUCCUAGAUGGACUACAUACAGAGCA
rnacentral:rRNA from 1 species